rnacentral:lncRNA from 1 species
UUCUUUUCUUUUUCAAUUAUAAAGUAUAUCAAAUUCGCAUGCUUCUUGGAUGGGUCAAAGAGGAAGGAAAGAGUUUGACGAGAAUCGAAACUUACACUAUCACUAAACUAUUAUCCAUCUCUCAAAAUAACACUAGUUACUUGUCCAAGUGAGAAACAUUACACAAUCAGGUAUUUACUUUUUCAUAUGUAACAUAGGCCUAAUAAGCUUUCUGAGCUACCAAAAUCACCUAAGUAGAUUCUAAAGCUUUCUCAAUAUUUUCAGCCAUGCUUUGCAGGGAGGAGUCAACGUAGCCAAAGAAAAAUUCCAAAGUCAACCCAUCAAUCGGAUCAGCAACGAACGACCAUUCGAUCUGGCACCCA